rnacentral:rRNA from 1 species
CCAGACUCCUACGGGAGGCAGCAGUGGGGAAUAUUGCACAAUGGGGGAAACCCUGAUGCAGCGACGCCGCGUGAGUGAAGAAGUAUUUCGGUAUGUAAAGCUCUAUCAGCAGGGAAGAAAAUGACGGUACCUGACUAAGAAGCCCCGGCUAACUACGUGCCAGCAGCCGCGGUAAUACGUAGGGGGCAAGCGUUAUCCGGAUUCACUGGGUGUAAAGGGAGCGUAGACGGCGACGCAAGCCAGGAGUGAAAGCCCAAGGCUUAACCAUGGGACUGCUCUGGAAACUGUGGAGCUUGGGUGCGGGAGGGGCAGGCGGAAUUCCUAGUGUAGCGGUGAAAUGCGUAGAUAUUAGGAGGAACACCAGUGGCGAAGGCGGCCUGCUGGACUGCAACUGACGUUGAGGCUCGAAGGCGUGGGGAGCAAACAGGAUUAGAUACCCCCGUAC